UACGGGAGGCAGCAGUGGGGAAUAUUGCACAAUGGGCGCAAGCCUGAUGCAGCCAUGCCGCGUGUAUGAAGAAGGCCUUCGGGUUGUAAAGUACUUUCAGUCGUGAGGAAGGUGUUAAGGUUAAUAACCUUAGCAAUUGACGUUAGCGACAGAAGAAGCACCGGCUAACUCCGUGCCAGCAGCCGCGGUAAUACGGAGGGUGCGAGCGUUAAUCGGAAUUACUGGGCGUAAAGGGCACGCAGGCGGUUAAUUAAGUUGGAUGUGAAAUCCCCGGGCUUAACCUGGGAAUGGCAUUCAAGACUGGUUAGCUAGAGUCUUGUAGAGGGGGUAGAAUUCCAUGUGUAGCGGUGAAAUGCGUAGAGAUGUGGAGGAAUACCGGUGGCGAAGGCGGCCCCUGGGACAAAGACUGACGCUCAUGCGCGAAAGCGUGGGGAGCAAACGAGGAUUAGAUACC
rnacentral:rRNA from 1 species